GGAAAGGUGAAAAGAACCCCGAACAGGGGAGUGAAAUAGAACCUGAAACCAUACGCUUACAACCGGUCGGAGCAGCUUCGUGCUGUGACGGCGUGCCUAUUGAAUAAUGAGCCUACGAGUUACUAAUCACUAGCGAGGUUAAGUGCAAGGAUGCACGGAGCCGAAGCGAAAGCGAGUCUGAACAGGGCGUUUAGUUAGUGGUUGUAGACGCGAAACCUUGCGAUCUACCCUUGAGCAGGUUGAAGGUUGGGUAAAACCAACUGGAGGACCGAACGAAUAAGCGUUGAAAAGCUUCUCGAUGACUUGAGGGUAGGGGUGAAAGGCUAAUCAAGCUGGGAAAUAGCUCGUACUCCCCGAAAUGCCUUUUGGGGCAGCGUUGUAAUAAAGAGUCUACUGGAGGUAGAGCUACUGAUUGGAUGCGGGGGCUUCACCGCCUACCAAAUCCUGACAAACUCCGAAUGCCAGUAGUAUGAUUUACAGCAGUGAGUGACUGGGUGCUAAUGUCCAGUCGCAAAAGAGGAACAACUCAGACCAGCAACUAAGGUCCCGAAGAAUAUGCUAAGUUGAUCUAACGAUGUUUUGUUGCAGAGACAGCUAGGAUGUUAGCUUGGAAGCAGCUAUUCAUUCAAAGAGUGCGUAACAGCUCACUAGUCGAGCGACAGAGCGUGGAUAAUAAACGGGCAUCAAGCAUAUCACCGAAGUUCUGGGCGCGAGAGCGCGGUAGGGGAGCAUUCCAUUCAGCGUCGAAGCAGUUUCGUGAGGAAUUGUGGAGCGUAUGGAAAAGCAAAUGUAGGCAUGAGUAACGAUAAUGCGGGAGAGUAACCCGCACACCGCAAGACCAAGGUUUCCUGAUCAACGCUAAUCGGAUCAGGGUUAGUCGGGUCCUAAGGGUAAGCCGAACGGCGAUCUCGAUGGAUAAUCGGUUAAUAUUCCGAUACUAACAUAUACCUCGAUGGAGAGACGAAGGAACGUAAGUGCCGCCACCUGACGGAAUAGGUGGUUAAAGGGCGUAGGUAUAGGGGCAGAUUAAGAGUUAGUCCUUGCUGAAACCUGACAGUACAGAGAGCCUACGGGCAAUUUGAUAGAGCACCCAAGUCGACUUCCGAGAAAAUCUUCUAAGUUAUAGUAUAUGUUACCCGUACCGUAAACCGACACAGGUGGUCGAGGAGAGUAUCCUAAGGUGCUCGAGUGAAUCACGGUUAAGGAACUAGGCAAAUUAACCCCGUAACUUCGGGAAAAGGGGUCCCUAUGAAAGUAGGGCGCAGCGAAGAGGUCCAGGCGACUGUUUAUCAAAAACACAGGGCUCUGCAAAUUCGAAAGAAGACGUAUAGGGCCUGACACCUGCCCGGUGCUGGAAGGUUAAGAGGGGAUGUCAUCGCAAGAGAAGCAUUGAAUCGAAGCCCCAGUAAACGGCGGCCGUAACUAUAACGGUCCUAAGGUAGCGAAAUUCCUUGUCGGGUAAGUUCCGACCUGCACGAAUGGUGUAACGAUCUGGACACUGUCUCAACCGUGAGCUCGGUGAAAUUGUAGUCCCGGUGAUGAUGCCGGGUACCCGCAACGGGACGAAAAGACCCCGUGAACCUUUACUAUAGCUUAACGCUGAAUUUGGGUACACAAUGUGUAGGAUAGGCCGGAGGCUUUGAAGCGGGCACGCCAGUGUUCGUGGAGCCGACGUUGAAAUACGGCCCUUUGUGUAUUUGAGUUCUAACCCUGCGAAGGGGACACCGUUUGGUGGGUAGUUUGACUGGGGUGGUCGCCUCCAAAAGCGUAACGGAGGCUUCCCAAGGUACCCUCAGCACGAAUGGUAACCGUGCGCGGAGUGCAAUAGCAUAAGGGUGCUUGACUGUGAGACAUACAAGUCGACCAGGUACGAAAGUAGGGUAUAGUGAUCCGGUGGUUCUGCGUGGACUGGCCAUCGCUCAAAGGAUAAAAGGUACUCCGGGGAUAACAGGCUGAUCGCCGCCAAGAGCUCAUAUCGACGCGGCGGUUUGGCACCUCGAUGUCGGCUCGUCACAUCCUGGGGCUGGAGAAGGUCCCAAGGGUU
rnacentral:rRNA from 1 species